GACGAACGCUGGCGGCGUGCUUAACACAUGCAAGUCGAACGGAAAGGCCCUGCUUUUGUGGGGUGCUCGAGUGGCGAACGGGUGAGUAACACGUGAGUAACCUGCCCUUGACCUUGGGAUAACUUCAGGAAACUGGGGCUAAUACCGGAUAGGAGCUCCUGCUGCAUGGUGGGGGUUGGAAAGUUUCGGCGGUUGGGGAUGGACUCGCGGCUUAUCAGCUUGUUGGUGGGGUAGUGGCUUACCAAGGCUUUGACGGGUAGCCGGCCUGAGAGGGUGACCGGCAACAUGGGGCCGGGGAGACGGCCCAGCCCCCUAGGGGAGGGAGGGGGGGGGAAUUUUGAACAAGGGGGGGAAGCCUGAUGCAGCAACGCCGGGGGGGGGAGGCCGGCCUUCGGGUUGGAAACCGCUUUCGCCUGUGACGAAGCGUGAGUGACGGUAAGGGGUAAAGGAGCACCGGCUAACUACGU
rnacentral:rRNA from 1 species